AUUGAACGCUGGCGGCAGGCCUAACACAUGCAAGUCGAGCGGAUGAGUGGAGCUUGCUCCAUGAUUCAGCGGCGGACGGGUGAGUAAUGCCUAGGAAUCUGCCUGGUAGUGGGGGACAACGUUUCGAAAGGAACGCUAAUACCGCAUACGUCCUACGGGAGAAAGUGGGGGAUCUUCGGACCUCACGCUAUCAGAUGAGCCUAGGUCGGAUUAGCUAGUUGGUGAGGUAAAGGCUCACCAAGGCCACGAUCCGUAACUGGUCUGAGAGGAUGAUCAGUCACACUGGAGCUGAGACACGGUCCAGACUCCUACUGGAGGCAGCAGUGGGGAAUAUUGGACAAUGGGCGAAAGCCUGAUCCAGCCAUGCCGCGUGUGUGAAGAAGGUCUUCGGAUUGUAAAGCACUUUAAGUUGGGAGGAAGGGCAGUAAGUUAAUACCUUGCUGCUUUGACGUUACCAACAGAAUAAGCACCGGCUAACUUCGUGCCAGCCGCCGCGGUAAAAC
rnacentral:rRNA from 1 species